rfam:Gasterosteus aculeatus cont1.010153, whole genome shotgun sequence.
GUCAAACCUCAGUUGGUAGAGCAUCAGACUUUUAAUCUAAGGGUCCAGGGUUCAAGUCCCUGUUCAGACU